GCAAUACUUAUAAGGCACCUACUACCUAUCUAAUUUUUCUAAACAAUUCCUUUGCAUUAUGUGUAGGCAUUUGUUGUAGGUGAGAACUGGGAAGUUUGGAAGGUAAAUCACAUUAUAUGAUUCACAUAAUCAUACCAACGCACAAUGGUCUAAAAUGAAUUAAUGAAUUACACAGCUUGAAUAUUAUUAUAUACUUCUAUA